GCUUCUUCUUCAAGAAACCAGUGUCUGCUGGGAGAAAGCAGACAUACAACCAAAUUACUGGUACAGGUAGUGGAAUCCUGUUAGACUCACGGCAUCUUCUGAGCAGCUCUCACAAAGGUCAAAUCCUCCUCAGCCAGGACACCCUUCCUCUGUUUACCCGCACCGAUGUGCCUACCCUUCCCAUGGGCUGAGGUGCUCUGGCUUGGAGCUGGGCCUAGACAGUCUCCGGCCUGCGGAUGACUGACCCACCACUUCCCAGUGUGCUGACCAAAGUUGGGACCGGUGAUUUCAUUUGUUCCCUUGGACCCAGCCAGACUCCCACCUGGAAGACGCAGGAGGUAUUAGCUAUGCAGGAAAUGACUCAAACCAAAAGCAGCAGUAUUUCAGCCUAUGAUGCAAAGGGAAGAAAAGCUUCAUAAAGGAAUCACCAUUUACGAAACAACCCAAAUUCUAGACUCAUACCAUCUGCGGACUCAAAAUGAGAUUGCAAUUUAAUUUUAUGUUUUCUAAUAGCAAUCUUAAUUUUAAAAGAUAGGUGGAAUUAAUUUUAGUAAUGUUUUAACUCAAUAUGUCCAUAGUAUUAUUUCAACAUAUAAUCAAAAAUAUUAGUUAGAUAUUAUAAUUUUCUUCGCCUUGACCAUUGAAUUCUGCUAUGUGUUUUACACCCGGAUCGCAAUUCUGACUAGACAUAUUUUAAGUGCAUAUGUACCAAAGGCUACCCUUUCAGGAGAGUUAUUAAACUUGGGCACUUUGUGCUUGACUAUCCACAUGAUUUUAUAUAUUCCUAGGUGAUGAUUCUAAGAAAGUUAUUCUAAUCUAUAAUGAAAAAUAGAUACUGAAAAUAACAGUAGUUGGUACUUAUUUUCCUAUGUGCCAAUCACUAUGCCAAUGUUUUGUCUAUAUUACUUGACAUAAUUCUCAAGCUUAUGAGAUAGUUCCUAUUUUUAUUCCUAUUUUAUAAAAUAGGAAACUAAAGCUAAGGGCAAUAUAACAGCAAGGAUGGUAAUCUCUUACCCUGGCUUCAAAGUCCUGAUCAACUCCUCUGCAGAUACCAUUUUUGGCAGGUUAUUUGCUAGGCAAGAGUAACAUUUAUUGUAAGAUCUUGAUGAAAAAACUAGUCUAAGGGCUUAGCUGGUCAUAUAUUAUGAUCAAUAAAUGAUUGACUUUGCUAGCAUUUGUUAUUGAUAAUGUUAUUAUAAGUAUUUAAAGUAGUAGAAUCAGAAGUUAAACUUAAAUCUCUGAUUUCAGAGCCUACAUUGCUAAUGAGAAUUACACAAUUGGCUCCAAGCAGCAUUUAUUAUACUAUUGCUAAUUCUGAAAAAUGCAAUAGAAGUAUCUGUCCUUGUAUGAAGUUUUUUGAAGUGUAUACAAUGUCUUUGUUUUUAAUUUGCAAACUUUUGUAAGGUAUUUCAAAAGGCCAAAGAAAUAAUGAAUAUUAAUGCCUUAAAAACCAGCCAAGGUGAAUGAGUUUGAAUUCUCUAGAAGAAAGAUAUUACCUAAAUCCAAGCAGCUAUAAUUAAUGCAAAUUUUAGAGAAUUAUGACAUCUCAGACAAUUAAACGGACUUUCUCUUAAGCUCAUCACAUUAAAAAGUUUAUCUAGAGAUGAAACCUUUAGAAAUCUUAUUUUGAAAAUGUUCAAAUGUUCAAAAAUGUUAAGUUCUCAAAAUAGAGAAUUUAAAAAUGAAUCCAAGAACUAACCAUGCAAAUUCAAUAAUUAACAAUG